rnacentral:rRNA from 1 species
UUAUUACGUCCCUGCCCUUUGUACACACCGCCCGUCGCUGCCCGGGACUGAGCCAUUUCGAGAAAUUUGGGGACCGUUGAUUUAAUUUAUCUAAAUUAUUUUGAUGGAAACCAAUUUAAUCGCAGUGGCUUGAACCGGGCAAAAGUCGUAACAAGGUAGCUGUAGGUGAACCUGCUGCUGGAUCAUUACUUUAUGUGAUGUUCAAUUUUGAAUCGCAAUGAAAUAAUUGUUGUGUAACGGCUGUCGCUGGUGUCUAGGUGUUGCUGAUACAGUUGUGAACGUCCGUGGCUGUAUAUGUGGUGACAUGUUAGGACUAUAAUGAGUUUAAGACUUAAUGAGCCUCUUAAGUGAGGACGCCAGCACUCUUUUUUUAUAUUUAAAAAAAAACAAAAUUCCUAGCCUUUCCGGUGGAUCACUAGGCUCGUGGAUCGAUGAAGAACGCAGCAAACUGCGAUAAGUUUUGCGAACUGCAGCAGCCUUGAGCAUAAAAGUUUUGAACGCAUAUUGCCGCAUAGGGGUCAAACCCUUUGCUAUGUCUGGUUCAGGGUCAUUAUCUUUCAAAGCGAAAGCUUUAUUGUAUAAUUGCUUUUGUGGCUUCUUUAUGUUUUAAAUUGAUUGUUAGAUAUGUUUAAUUGUUCGCAUGUAUCAUCAACAAUAUUGAUUUUUUGACCUGAACUCAGUCGAGAGCACCCGCUGAACUUAAGCAUAUCAGUAAGCGGAG